rnacentral:rRNA from 1 species
GACGAACGCUGGCGGCGUGCCUAAUACAUGCAAGUCGAACGUUGAAGGAGGAGCUUGCUCUUCUGGAUGAGUUGCGAACGGGUGAGUAACGCGUAGGUAACCUGCCUGGUAGCGGGGGAUAACUAUUGGAAACGAUAGCUAAUACCGCAUAAGAGUAGAUGUUGCAUGACAUUUGCUUAAAAGGUGCAAUUGCAUCACUACCAGAUGGACCUGCGUUGUAUUAGCUAGUUGGUGGGGUAACGGCUCACCAAGGCGACGAUACAUAGCCGACCUGAGAGGGUGAUCGGCCACACUGGGACUGAGACACGGCCCAGACUCCUACGGGAGGCAGCAGUAGGGAAUCUUCGGCAAUGGACGGAAGUCUGACCGAGCAACGCCGCGUGAGUGAAGAAGGUUUUCGGAUCGUAAAGCUCUGUUGUAAGAGAAGAACGAGUGUGAGAGUGGAAAGUUCACACUGUGACGGUAUCUUACCAGAAAGGGACGGCUAACUACGUG